rnacentral:tmRNA from 1 species
GGGGCCGUUAUUGGUUUCGACGGGAAUAUUAGAGUAUGAAUUGCAAGCCGUAGGUGUUACGUUAAACCCAAAAUAAAAAUAACUGGAAACAGAAAUCAAUUAGCUUUCGCUUAAUUUAGAAGGCAGUCCUAUUAUUCGUUUUCUUGUGACGAUAUAUGGGCUUGAUAAAGCAAGAUAUAUUAUUUGCUUGAUUGAGGUAAAUAAUGAAAGUUAUCAAUCUAGUUAAAAAUUUAUUUGUUUAUUUUUAUGUUUUUAGCGAAAUGAUUAAAUAAACUAAACUUGUAGAUAUUUAUAUAGCUAUAUUUUCGGACAGGAGUUCAAGUCUCCUCGGCUCCACCA